rnacentral:rRNA from 1 species
GAUGAACGCUGGCGGCGUGCCUAAUACAUGCAAGUCGAGCGAACGGACGAGAAGCUUGCUUUUCUGAUGUUAGCGGCGGACGGGUGAGUAACACGUGGAUAACCUACUUAUAAGACUGGGAUAACUUCGGGAAACCGGAGCUAAUACUGGAUAAUAUUUUGAACCGCAUGGUUCAUAAGUGAAAGACGGUCUUGCUGUCACUUAUAGAUGGAUCCGCGCUGCAUUAGCUAGUUGGUAAGGUAACGGCUUACCAAGGCAACGAUGCAUAGCCGACCUGAGAGGAUGAUCGGCCACACUGGAACUGAGACACGGUCCAGACUCCUACGGGAGGCAGCAGUAGGGAAUCUUCCGCAAUGGGCGAAAGCCUGACGGAGCAACGCCGCGUGAGUGAUGAAGGUCUUCGGAUCGUAAAACUCUGUUAUUAGGGAAGAAAAUAUGUGUAAGUAACUGUGCACAUCUUGACGGUACCUAAUCAGAAAGCCACGGCUAACUACGUG